rnacentral:rRNA from 1 species
GUCUACAGCUAUGCCCCUCUGAACAAGCCCAAUGUCUGAUCUCGGAAGCUAAGCAGGGUCGGACCUGGUUAGUACUUGGAUGGGAGGCCACCUAGGAAGACCAGGUGCUGUAGGCA